GACGAACGCUGGCGGCGUGCCUAAUACAUGCAAGUCGAACGGUCUUUUCUAUGGAAGCUUGCUUCCACUGAGAAGAUAGUGGCGAACGGGUGAGUAACACGUGGGUAACCUGCCCAUAAGAGGGGGAUAACAUCCGGAAACGGGUGCUAAUACCGCAUAGUUUUCUUGAUCGCAUGAUUGAGAAAGGAAAGACGGCCUUUGUGCUGUCGCUUAUGGAUGGACCCGCGGCGCAUUAGUUAGUUGGUGAGGUAACGGCUCACCAAGACGAUGAUACGUAGCCGACCUGAGAGGGUGAGCGGCCACAUUGGGACUGAGACACGGCCCAAACUCCUACGGGAGGCAGCAGUAGGGAAUCUUCCGCAAUGGACGAAAGUCUGACGGAGCAACGCCGCGUGAGUGAAGAAGGUUUUCGGAUCGUAAAACUCUGUUGUCAGAGAAGAACAAGUUGGAGAGUAACUGCUCCAGCCUUGACGGUAUCUGACCAGAAAGCCACGGCUAACUACGUGCCAGCCGCCGCAGUAAAAC
rnacentral:rRNA from 1 species